GACAGAGGCCACGAACGUUGUUCGGAAUCACUGGGCAUAAAGCGCACGUAGGCGGCUGGGUCCGUCCGAUGUGAAAGCCCCCGGCUCAACCGGGGGAUUGCAUCGGAUACAGCCCGGCUUGAGGACGGUUGGGGUGAGUGGAACUCCUGGUGGAGCGGUGAAAUGCGUAGAUAUCAGGAGGAACACCGGUGGCGAAAGCGGCUCACUGGACCGUAACUGACGCUGAGGUGCGAAAGCUAGGGGAGCAAACGGG
rnacentral:rRNA from 1 species